rnacentral:rRNA from 1 species
GUGAAACCCUGUGGGAAGCAGGAGGGACCACCCUCCAAGGCUAAAUACUACCUAGUGACCGAUAGCGUAUAGUACCGUGAGGGAAAGGUGAAAAGAACCCCGGGAGGGGAGUGAAAUAGAACCUGAAACCCUGCACUUACAAGCUGUGGAAGCACAUUUCUUGUGUGACCGCGUACUUUUUGUAGAACGGGCCAACGAGUUACGUUAAGUAGCAAGGUUAAGCACUUAAGGUGCGGAGCCGUAGCGAAAGCGAGUUUUAACUGAGCGUUCAGUUACUUGACGUAGACCCGAAACCGGGCGACCUACCCAUGAGCAGGAUGAAGCGAAAGUAAAAUUUCGUGGAGGUCCGAACCCACGAGCGUUGAAAAGCUCGGGGAUGACUUGUGGGUAGCGGUGAAAUUCCAAUCGAGCCCGGAGAUAGCUGGUUCUCCCCGAAAUAGCUUUAGGGCUAGCCUCAAGGUGAGAGAUACGGAGGUAGAGCACUGAAUGUCCUAGGGGGUAUUGCACCUACCGAAGACUAUCAAACUCCGAAUGCCGUCAUCUUAUACUUGGGAGUCAGACUGUGGGUGAUAAGAUUCAUAGUCGAAAGGGCAACAGCCCAGAUCGUCAGCUAAGGUCCCUAAAUGUAAGUUAAGUGGUAAAGGAUGUGGGAUUGCACAGACAACCAGGAUGUUGGCUUAGAAGCAGCCACUCAUUCAAAGAGUGCGUAAUAGCUCACUGGUCGAGUGAUCCUGCGCCGAAGAUUUCCGGGGCUAAAACUUACUACCGAAGCUACGGCAUCAGUAAUGAUGGGUAGGGGAGCUUCCCAUACGGGUUGAAGCAUGACCGUAAGGACAUGUGGACAGUAUGGGAGUGAGAAUGUUGGCAUGAGUAGCGAGAUGUGGGUGAGAAUCCCACAGGCCGUAAACCCAAGGUUUCCAGGGGAAGGUUCGUCCGCCCUGGGUUAGUCGGGACCUAAGCUGAGGCCGAAAGGCGUAGGUGAUGGACAACAGGUUGAUAUUCCUGUAC